rnacentral:pre_miRNA from 12 species
ACUCCUUCCCUGCAUCUUCUCCUCUCAGGGAAGCUUUUUGCUCGCAUUAUAUUUUGGAUUUGAAUAUAAGACGAACAAAAGGUUUGUCUGUGUGCAGAGAGUUACAACUUGUGGCAG